AUUGAACGCUGGCGUCAUGCCUUACACAUGCAAGUCGAACGGCAGCACGGGAGCAAUCCUGGUGGCGAGUGGCGAACGGGUGAGUAAUAUUUCGGAACGUGCCCAGUAGUGGGGGAUAACUGCUCGGAAGAGCAGCUAAUACCGCAUACGACCUGAGGGUGAAAGGGGGGGGUCGCAAGACCUCUCGCUAUUGGAGCGGCCGAUAUCAGAUUAGCUAGUUGGUGAGGUAAAGGCUCACCAAGGCGACGAUCAGUAGCGGGUCUGAGAGGAUGAUCCGCCACACUGGGACUGAGACACGGCCCAGACUCCUACGGGAGGCAGCAGUGGGGAAUUUUGGACAAUGGGCGCAAGCCUGAUCCAGCCAUGCCGCGUGUCUGAAGAAGGCCUUCGGGUUGUAAAGGACUUUUGUCCGGGAGCAAAUACCCAGUGCUAAUAACGCUGGGGGCUGAGAGUACCGGAAGAAUAAGCACCGGCUAACUACGUGCCAGCCGCCGCGGUAACAC
rnacentral:rRNA from 1 species